rnacentral:rRNA from 1 species
UACGGAGGAUGCAAGCGUUAUCCGGAAUGAUUGGGCGUAAAGCGUCCGCAGGUGGCAAUGUAAGUCUGCUGUCAAAGCGUCUGGCUCAACCAGAUAAAGGCAGUGGAAACUACAUAGCUAGAGUAAGGUAGGGGUAGAGGGAAUUCCUGGUGUAGCGGUGAGAUGCGUAGAGAUCAGGAAGAACACCGGUGGCGAAAGCGCUCUGCUGGACCUUAACUGACACUGAGGGACGAAAGCUAGGGGAGCGAAUGGG